rnacentral:rRNA from 1 species
AUGAGUCAGCUAGUGUGGAACUUCCGGGGGGCGGGGAACCGCCGGACAGUUCACGAAGUUGGGGCUCUUGUAAAAGCCCAUUCCCCGAGUUUUGUCUUCCUUGCUGAAACAAGACAAACCUGUGCAAAGAUUGAGCGUCUGCGUUGGAGGCUAGGCCUCAAAGGUUUCUGUGGUGUUGACUGUGAAGGCCGUGGUGGUGGUCUGGCUUUGUUCUGGGAUGAAGCAUCCCAAGUCACGGUGCUAGAUUCGUGUACCAGAUAUAUUGAUGUAAGCAUAUUGGAUCAAGGUUCAGGGAAGCAGUGA